AUUGAACGCUGGCGGCAGGCUUAACACAUGCAAGUCGAGCGGUAACAGAGAGAAGCUUGCUUCUCUGCUGACGAGCGGCGGACGGGUGAGUAAUGCCUAGGAAUCUGCCUAGUAGUGGGGGAUAACUUGCCGAAAGGUAAGCUAAUACCGCAUACGUCCUACGGGAGAAAGGAGGGGACCUUCGGGCCUUUCGCUAUGAGAUGAGCCUAGGUCGGAUUAGUCAGUUGGUGAGGUAAUGGCUCACCAAGACCGCGAUCCGGAACUGGUCUGAGAGGAUGCUCAGGCACACUGGAAGUGAGACACGGGCCAGACUCCUACGGGAGGCAGCAGUGGGGAAUAUUGGACAAUGGGGGGAGCGCUGAUCCAGCCAUGCCGCGUGUGGGAAGGAGGUCUUAGGAUUGUAAAGCACUUUAAGUUGGGAGGAAGAGCAGUUAACUACUAUUUGGCUGUUUUGACGUUACCGACAGAAUAAGCACCGGCUAACUUCGUGCCAGCCGCCGCCGUAA
rnacentral:rRNA from 1 species